GUACGGGAGGCAGCAGUAGGGAAUAUUGCAUAAUGGGCGAAAGCCUGAUGCAGCAACGCCGCGUGCAUGAUGAAGGCCUUCGGGUUGUAAAAUGCUUUUAGCAGGGAUGAGGAAGGACAGUACCUGCUGAAUAAGCCUCGGCUAACUACGUGCCAGCAGCCGCGGUAAAACGUAGGAGGCGAGCGUUAUCCGGAUUUACUGGGCGUAAAGCGCGUGCAGGUGGUUCGGUAAGUUGGAUGUGAAAGCUCCUGGCUUAACUGGGAGAGGUCGUUCAAUACUGCUGGACUUGAGUGUGGGAGAGGGAGGUGGAAUUCCGGGUGUAGUGGUGAAAUGCGUAGAUAUCCGGAGGAACACCAGUGGCGAAAGCGGCCUCCUGGCCCAUUACUGACACUCAGACGCGAAAGCUAGGGGAGCGAACGGGAUUAGAUACCCCGGU
rnacentral:rRNA from 1 species